GUGGGGAAUCUUGCGCAAUGGGCGAAAGCCUGACGCAGCCAUGCCGCGUGAAUGAUGAAGGUCUUAGGAUUGUAAAAUUCUUUCACCGGGGACGAUAAUGACGGUACCCGGAGAAGAAGCUCCGGCUAACUUCGUGCCAGCAGCCGCGGUAAUACGAAGGGGGCUAGCGUUGCUCGGAAUUACUGGGCGUAAAGGGCGCGUAGGCGGACAGCUUAGUCAGAGGUGAAAGCCCAGGGCUCAACCUUGGAAUUGCCUUUGAUACUGGCUGUCUUGAGUUUGGGAGAGGUGAGUGGAACUCCGAGUGUAGAGGUGAAAUUCGUAGAUAUUCGGAAGAACACCAGUGGCGAAGGCGACUCACUGGCCCAAUACUGACGCUGAGGUGCGAAAGCGUGGGGAGCAAACAGGAUUAGAAACCCCAGUAGUCC
rnacentral:rRNA from 1 species